GAUGAACGCUGGCGGCGUGCCUAACACAUGCAAGUCGAACGGAGUCCAGCCUUUAAGACCUUCGGGUCAAAGAGGGGAAGCCUGAGUGGCGGACGGGUGAGUAACACGUGGGCAACCUGGCUCAUAGAGGGGGAUAACAGAGAGAAAUUUCUGCUAAUACCGCAUAAGCACACACUGCCGCAUGGCAGAGGGUGAAAAGAGAAUCGCUAUGAGAUGGACCCGCGUCUGAUUAGCCAGUUGGCAGGGUAAGAGCCUACCAAAGCGACGAUCAGUAGCCGAUCUGAGAGGAUGAACGGCAACAUUGGGACUGAGACACGGCCCAAACUCCUACGGGAGGCAGCAGUGGGGGAUAUUGCACAAUGGGGGGAACCCUGAUGCAGCGACGCCGCGUGAGUGAAGAAGUAUUUCGGUAUGUAAAGCUCUAUCAGCAGGGAAGAUAAUGACAGUACCUGAAUAAGAAGCCCCGGCUAACUACGUG
rnacentral:rRNA from 1 species